rnacentral:rRNA from 1 species
GUGACCGAGCGACGCCGCGUGCGGGAUGAAGGGCUUCGGCUUGUAAACCGCUUUUGUUGGGGACGAAUGUUUUCCUCGUGCAGGAGAGCUUGACGGUACCCGACGAAUAAGCCUCGGCUAACUCCGUGCCAGCAGCCGCGGUAAGACGGAGGAGGCGAGCGUUGUUCGGAAUUAUUGGGCGUAAAGGGCUCGUAGGCGGGCAGGUCAGUCUGGCGUGAAAUCUCCACCGCUCACCGGGGAGGGUGCGCUGGAAACUACCUGUCUGGAGUUCGGUAGAGGGCUGUGGAAUUCCGCAUGUAGCGGUGGAAUGCGUAGAUAUGCGGAAGAACACCUGUGGCGAAGGCGGCAGCCUGGGCCGAAACUGACGCUGAGGAGCGAAAGCUAGGGGAGCAAACGGGAUUAGAUACCCCGGUAGUCCUAGCCGUAAACGAU